CUCAGGGCAGGGUGUAAUUCCCGACCGGCGGUAAACCCCGCGAGCUUGAUAGAGGCUGAAUUGGUGAAAUUCCAAUGGCGACAGUAAAGUCUGGAUGGGAGAGAU
rnacentral:ncRNA from 1 species